rnacentral:rRNA from 1 species
GNACGGCGAGUGANAGGAAGAGCUCAAAGUUGGAACCUGUUUGGCCUAGCUAAACCGGAUUGUAGACUGUAGAAGUGUUUUCCAGGCAAGCCGAGUAAAUAAGUCCUUUGGAACAGGGCAUCAUAGAGGGUGAGAAUCCCGUCUUUGGCUUGAGCAUUUGCCUUUUGUGAUACGCUUUCAAAGAGUCAGGUUGUUUGGGAAUGCAGCCUAAAUUGGGUGGUAAAUCUCACCUAAAGCUAAAUAUUGGCGAGAAACCGAUAGCGAACAAGUACCGUGAGGGAAAGAUGAAAAGAACUUUGAAAAGAGAGUUAAACAGUAUGUGAAAUUGUUAAAAGGGAACCGUUUGGAGCCAGACUGGCUUGUCUGUAAUCAAUCUAGGCUUCGGCCUGGAUGCACUUGCAGGCUAUGCCUGCCAACGACAAUUUGACUUGAGGGAAAAAACUAGGGGAAAUGUGGCCCACUUGUGGGUGUUAUAGUCCCUUAGAAAAUACCUUGGGUUGGAUUGAGGAACGCAGCGAAUGCUUAUUGGCGAGUUUUCCAGGAAGGUUUUCUGAGGUACUACGGUAUCAAGGUUGAUCUUUUUGGUUAUACUUCUAUUCGCUUAGGUUGUUGGCUUAAUGACUCUAAAUGACCCGUCUUGNACNNCNGGACC